rnacentral:rRNA from 1 species
UACGGAGGGUGCGAGCGUUGUUCGGAAUCACUGGGCGUAAAGGGCGUGUAGGCGGUCCGCUAAGUCUGAUGUGAAAGCCCGGGGCUCAACCCCGGAAGUGCAUUGGAAACUGGCGGACUCGAGUCCCGGAGAGGAGAGUGGAAUUCCUGGUGUAGCGGUGAAAUGCGUAGAUAUCAGGAGGAAGACCGGUGGCGAAGGCGGCUCUCUGGACGGUGACUGACGCUGAGACGCGAAAGCGUGGGGAGCAAACAGG